AUGGAUGACUCUGCCCCACAAGACCCGGCUACUGAUGCCAAUCCGCCGGAGGCUGACCCGGAAACACAUGUUGACACAUCAAGUCCACAUGCCACGCCUCCAAGUCCAGUUGCUGAUCCGCUAGGUUCGACUGCUAAUCCGCCAAGCCCUGCUGCCAAACAGCCAAGCCCAGCCAAAGAUAAUGUCAAUCCACCGAGCCCAGCCAAAGAUGAUGAUGAUGUUGUUGUCACUGGUACUGCUUAUACCGUCCUAGGCAAUCUAGUUGCUUUAUCGAAGCAUACUGCCAAGGAUGAAUUUGCUGCUAUGGGCAAGGGGAAAGGGAAGACCGAUUUGUCAAGCUAUGUUGACCUUUCUGCUCAGGAUCUUCAUUCCGGAUUCUUGAACCGGCUUUACACCAGCCGUGAUUAUGAGGCCGGUUUGGUGAAUCUGAUGAAGGAACGCUAUGAGGCUGAUAUAAAUCGCCAAGGCACUCAAAUUGCUGAUCUGCAAGAGAAUAUCAAGUCCCAACAAGCAGAGACUUCCAAGGCCAAGGAUGAGCUGAAAACUGCUUUAACAGCCAUGGAACAACUUAAAGAAGGGUUCAAGACUGAGUGUGCCAACUGGGAGGCCGAAAAGAAUGCAUUGCUGAAGCGGGCUGAAGACGCCGAGUCGACUCUUAAACCGGUGGAGGAAGAGCUAACUGGGUUGAAGCGCCAAGUGAAUGCCAUGACCUCUGCAAUAUUUGGUGGCUGCAUUGCUCAUCUGGGCUCUGACAUGCGGAUGAAACUGAAGACAGCAUAUACUCUGAUUGAACAGCUGUAUACCGGUGCCCAACGGGUCAUCUGUGCAGCCUCAUACAACAAUCCGGCUCCAACAUUGAUCAAGGACACUCUAGCAAGGUUAUCCAUGACGCCAGCACAUAUAGAAGAGAUGAAGCGAUCCGCUGCCAGGGCUGGAGCUUUGUUGGCCCUUACUCGAGCUAAAGCAUGGAUAGCGGAUCUUGAUCUGGUUGAUAUCGCCAAGGGCUUCCCUAGUGAACAAGAAAACGGGGCAAAGUUUGAUAACGAAGCCCUAAAAAAUGUGACAAGGGAGAUGCGUCCUCUGGUGAGUCAAUUGGCAGAAGAAGCCAACUUGACGGUUCACCGGUCUUUCUAUAACCCUUCCGCCGUCACCGAUGGCGGUUGUUCCCCUACCAGCCACCACCGCUAG
rnacentral:rRNA from 1 species